GACGAAAAAAGAGGGCGCCCGCAAGGGGCUCUCACCACGAGAUGAGUCCGCGGCCCAUCAGCUAGUUGGCGGUGUAAUAGACCACCAAGGCUAAGACGGGUAGCUGGUCUGAGAGGAUGACCAGCCACACUGGGGACUGAGACACGGCCCAGACUCCUACGGGAGGCAGCAGUGGGGAAUAUUGGACAAUGGGCGAAAGCCUGAUCCAGCCAUGCCGCGUGAGUGAUGAAGGUCUUCGGAUCGUAAAGCUCUGUGGGAAGGGACGAAAAAGCCUAACCUAAUACGUUAGGUCUUGACGGUACCUUCUUAGCAAGCACCGGCUAACUCCGUGCCAGCAGCCGCGGUAAUACGGAGGGUGCAAACGUUGCUCGGAAUUAUUGGGCGUAAAAGCGCACGUAGGCGGUCCGCUAAGUCGGAUGUGAAAGCCCUCGGCUUAACCGAGGAAGUGCAUCCGAAACUGACGGCUAGAGUACGGAAGAGGGUUUCGGAAUUCCCGGUGUAGAGGUGAAAUUCGUAGAUAUCGGGAGGAACACCAGUGGCGAA
rnacentral:rRNA from 1 species